rnacentral:rRNA from 1 species
UACGGAGGGGGCAAGCGUUAUCCGGAAUCACUGGGUUUAAAGGGUGCGUAGGCGGCUUGAUAAGUCAGGGGUGAAAGCCCGCAGCUUAACUGCGGAACUGCCUUUGAUACUGUCGAGCUUGAAAGAGGUUGAGGUCAGCGGAACGUGACAUGUAGCGGUGAAAUGCAUAGAUAUGUCACAGAACACCGAUUGCGAAGGCAGCUGGCUGGACCUACGUUGACGCUGAGGCACGAAAGCGUGGGGAGCGAACAUG